ensembl:snoRNA LOC120097212 small nucleolar RNA SNORA70
AUGGUGGGCAGUGGCUGCACAGAGCAACCUCUUUGGGAGUAUGUGUACCCUGUUGCCAACGUGGUUGUCCCAAGGGACCUUGGGAACAAUU